GUAGACAAGCUAGUAUCUUAUAAACUACAUACUGUGCCAAGUACAGACAGCUAUUAUCUAAUGAGAUCUUUUUCCUUGGUGGACUCUAGACACUAUGGCAAAAGUCAUGUUCAUUAGAAGUCUGAAUGUUCCAGUUGGAAACAAUUUCUGCUAUCUGAGCCAAAAACGUUAAAUGGUUCCUAACAUAAUUGUAUUGCCUUGGCCUCAUCAAUGUUUCAUUCUAGCCAACUAAGCGGAGGGUCUCUCUCUCUUUCACUAAUGACUCUCAAAAAUGUAAGCAAGAAUCUCCCCUUUUUUGAGAGCAUGAUGUAGGUAGGUAAGGACAGAAUAAGUAGGAAGAGGCUUAUAGAAUAUCAAUUUCAAUGUUGAAAAAGAAAGUUACAAGGAUCGUGGACUUAUUCAAUUUCUAGGAAAAAAAAAUAUAUCCCCGGACUCCACUAAGGAAGCACAGAAAAUGGUGUAAGGGUUUUGAAAAUUAUAUUUGUUUGCCCUGAAAGAUAAAUAAAGAGAGUUUAACACCCAACUUUGGAAGUUCUUAGUGAUUCUCCAAUUUGGUUAGAAAAUUAAAUUAAUUUACUUCAAGAUUCUCAGGGUUAAAAGAUUUAUUCUUAAGAAGCUCUCUAUUUGAAUUGUUAUUGUUGAGGAUAGAUUUAAUAUGCAUUAGGUAUAUUCAGAAAACUAAACGGAAAAAUAACAACACUAAUUAGGCUGACCCUCCUGCCUCCAGAAAGUUAAGAUAUAUGUUUGACAGGUAAUUAAAUGCAAUAUUCUAAAAUGGGAGUGAAAUCAACAGAGAAACUCAGCAGAAUACCAAUAGCAGAGCAGCUUAUGUUUUUCUUACCUUCUUUGACUCCCACAGAAUGUUUUCACUAAAGUGCCACUAAAAUGGAUAUUUAGCACCACUGCCAAAACAAAGAGCUUCCCCUUGGGAAUAAUGCAUAUUUUGUAUAUGGUUACAGAGGUAAUUGGGUGCUGAAAAAAAAAUGAGCUUUAACAUUUUAUACACAGGGGUCCAAAUUCUGGUUUUGUCACUCACCAGCUUGUGAUACUGAGUUACUUAAUCUCUUCAAUUUUCAGGUUUUUUUCUUCUGUAAAACGUAGACAACAAUAUCUACCUUGCAAGACUGUUAGGAGAAUAGGAAAUUUUAUAAAUAUUUAUAUAGCCCAUUACAGUGCUGGAGCAUAAUAUAUUCACAAGAAAAGUUUUUGAACUGCAUACAUGUUAAGAAUGAAUGUCAAUCUCAGAAGUAAUCCCUGAAAGAGAACAUCAUAAUUGCAAUGAUAAUAGCUAUUAUUUUCCUGAAAAGGAUGUAGUUAACUUCUCUUGGGACUAUUAUUAGUACUAACAAAGAUCUAACUUUGAUCUGAGCACUUAGGCCCCAACCAUAAGCAGAUUUAAUCCACGUCAUUAUUCUCUUUUAAAACACUUACAACAGUAUGAAACAUGGAAGGUUUUGAUUGGAUAACUAAAGGGAUUUUUUUACCUGCUAUGAUUCUGAUCGGCUGAGAGGAAACAAUAAACCAAUCACAUGUAGGUUGACCUAUAAGACUUAUUUUCCAACCCAAAAAAAAAA
ensembl:lncRNA